AAAGAUCUAGAUCUAAGUGCUAUCAUGAGUAGAUGUGAACCAUGCCCAACAUUUUCCCUCUUGCAUACUGUCACAACACAAGGAUACUCGACUAUCGGACGAAUGGAACAGGACAUGAUGAUCGGUCUAGGUAAGCAAUAAAGCAACCCAAAGUAGCACUAGCUAGCCAUUAUAUGAAAGAGUGUCAUCAACAUAUGAAUGAUAACAAAUAGAUCAUAAAUACGAGGUUCAACGAUGACAAAUCAAGAUCUCCAUACAACCCCG
rnacentral:lncRNA from 1 species